AUAGCUUCUCAGCCUUUUGGCUAACGUCAAGUGUAGUAUCUGUUCUUAUCAGUUUAGUGCUCAAGAAUCUAAGGACUCUGCUAAUACGCCUGAGAAAGCAGUGGAAGAUGCUCAAGUCCUU
ensembl:snRNA U2 U2 spliceosomal RNA